GCCUGGGUGGCUCAGUUGGUUAAGCGUCUGACUUUGGCUCAGGUCAUGAACUCAUGAGUUCGUGAGUUCAAGCCCCACGUCGGGCU
rnacentral:tRNA from 1 species